GUGAGGAAUUUUCCGCAAUGGGCGAAAGCCUGACGGAGCAAUGUCGCGUGAAGGAUGAAGGCCUAUGGGUUGUAAACUUCUUUUCUCAGAAAAGAAUUAUGACGGUAUCUGAGGAAUAAGCAUCGGCUAACUCUGUGCCAGCAGCCGCGGUAAGACAGAGGAUGCAAGCGUUAUCCGGAAUGAUUGGGCGUAAAGCGUCUGUAGGUUGUUUAAAAAGUAUUCUGUCAAAGAUUAGGGCUUAACCCUAGAUAGGCAGAAUAAACUUUUAAGCUAGAGUUUGGUAGAGGCAGAGGGAAUUCCCGGUGGAGCGGUGAAAUGCGUAGAUAUCGGGAGGAACACCAAAGGCGAAGGCACUCUGCUGGGCCAAUACUAACACUGAGAGACGAAAGCGAGGGGAGCAAAUGGGAUUAGAAACCCUUGUAGUCC
rnacentral:rRNA from 1 species